UUUUCUGUAGUGUAGUGGUUAUCACAUUCACUUCAAAUGCAAAAGGUCUCUGGUUCGAAACCAGACAGAAACA
rnacentral:tRNA from 1 species